GGUGGAUGCCUUGGCGCGAGACGGCGAUGAAGGACGUGGCAAGCUGCGAUAAGCUUCGGGGAGCCGCUAAGCAGGCUUUGAUCCGGAGAUUUCCGAAUGGGGCAACCCAGCCGGCGUAAUGGCCGGUUAUCCCAUGGUGAAUGAAUAGCCAUGGGAGGCGAACGGGGGAAGUGAAACAUCUCAGUACCCCUAGGAGCAGAAAUCAAUCGAGAUUCCCUUAGUAGCGGUGAGCGAAAGGGGAAGAGCCCAAACCGAAGGUAGCAAUACCUCCGGGGUUGUGGGGCAGUCUCAGGGUGUAGCCCGGAGAGUUACAAAAUCAGUGCGUAGUGGAAGGAUCCUGGAAAAGGACCACCAGAGGGGGUGAUAGUCCCGUACACGAAACGCACUGGUCUCUCUGGAGACUGUUCCCGAGUACCGCGGGACACGUGGAAUCCCGUGGGAAGC
rnacentral:rRNA from 1 species